AGAUUUGACUAUUAUUUCCGGUCAGUCAGCUUGCCGAAGCAGUCAGAUUUCCGUCAUACUACUCUGAAUAAAAAUGGCAUCAGGAGAUGAGCUUCCAUCACAUCUCGCUGUCGAUACCUCCAACGUUCAAAUUCUUAACUCUGAGACCUCAAAAAGACUCGUCGAAAAUUUUGUAAUCGCUCUCAUGAACAAGGAGCGUUUCUACAUCCGCAUUUCUUUUCGACAUACAAACCAUAUGCCACUGCUGAAAGUGUGUUGUACAUCCUCCUGGACAAAUAUGGAAGCUUUGACACCUCAGAGGCAGAAGAGAUUCCAGUAAUCGAUUCAGUGAGCACAAAGUAAGCUUUAGUCGAAUGUGUG